UGAGAGCUCCUGGUCAUGAAAUGUGCUUUUUCCUCAAAUCUCUUCGUGAGUUUCCACCGGAAUGCAUAAGCCGUUCUGCCCAACCGCGAUCCUAAUUAAAAACAUCAAUUAAAAUGGGGAGAGGGCAAAGUAAGCCUCCCCGCCCAGCGCCAUCUACCCGGGCGCUCUGGUUUCCAUAGAAACUCCAAACAGCCUCCUGGGAGUUGUCUGUGGGGAAGGAGCUGUCCGGACCCGGAUCGGCGGGAAAGGGAGAGUCAGCCUCGGAAUCUCGUCCCGCUGGCUGUGCAGUGCGCCAUGACUGCCGUACCUGGUAAUUGUGAGUUGCUGUACAGACGGUGGAUCUGGCACCUAGAAUAUGCAGGCAGGCCUGAAGUGUAAAGGAGAAGGAGAUAAUGACACAGAAAGGAGAAAAAGAUUUAGAAGGGGAGUUAGUAGAUUAAAGCCGGAUGGAGACGUGGCCUGCAGUGUCGAACCUAUGAACCAGCCACCAACUGCAUCACAUACUAGCAGAUACAAGCCAGAAGGUAAGUGGCCAGGAUCCAGCCAGAUCCUAUUUAGUGCGAGCAAUGCAAACUGCAAGCUUGAUGCUCCAUUCAAUAAUAAUGCUGUGUUAGGAAAAAGGCCAAAGAUGCUAGCAGUUUGAUGCCCUUAGGAAAAGCUUUAAGGUUUUAGGCCAUUCUUCAUUCUACGUCAGCCACCACAUUCUGUUUAAGAUUGUCAGGAGAAUUCUGCUGCUGAAUUAAAUCCAUGACUCAUUUAACUCUACAUUGUAUUUCUCUAUCAGAUGGCCUUCCGCCUGUUUUUCACAGCAGAUGUUUGCCAAAGGGAGGUUGC